rnacentral:rRNA from 1 species
AGGACGAACGCUGGCGGCAUGCCUAACACAUGCAAGUCGAACGAGACCGCUGACUUCGGUUGGCGCGUCUAGUGGCGCACGGGUGCGUAACGCGUGGGAAUCUGCCCUUGGGUACGGAAUAACAGUUAGAAAUGACUGCUAAUACCGUAUAAUGACUUCGGUCCAAAGAUUUAUCGCCCAGGGAUGAGCCCGCGUAGGAUUAGCUUGUUGGUGAGGUAAAAGCUCACCAAGGCGACGAUCCUUAGCUGGUCUGAGAGGAUGAUCAGCCACACUGGGACUGAGACACGGCCCAGACUCCUACGGGAGGCAGCAGUGGGGAAUAUUGGACAAUGGGCGAAAGCCUGAUCCAGCAAUGCCGCGUGAGUGAUGAAGGCCUUAGGGUUGUAAAGCUCUUUUGCCCGGGAUGAUAAUGACAGUACCGGAGAAUAAGCUCCGGCUAACUCCGUGCCAGCAGCCGC